rnacentral:rRNA from 1 species
CUACGGGAGGCAGCAGUGGGGAAUUUUGGACAAUGGGGGCAACCCUGAUCCAGCAAUGCCGCGUGAGUGAAGAAGGCCUUCGGGUUGUAAAGCUCUUUUGUCAGGGAAGAAACAGCAGCUCUAACACAGUCUGCGAAUGACGGUACCUGAAGAAUAAGCACCGGCUAACUACGUGCCAGCAGCCGCGGUAAUA